rnacentral:rRNA from 1 species
GAUGAACGCUGGCGGCGUGCCUAAUACAUGCAAGUCGAGCGAACAGACGAGGAGCUUGCUCCUCUGACGUUAGCGGCGGACGUGUGAGUAACACGUGUAUAACCUACCUAUAAGACUUGGAUAACUUCGGGAAACCGGAGCUAAUACCGUAUAAUAUAUUGAACCGCAUGGUUCAAUAGUGAAAGUCGGUUUUGCUGUCACUUAUAGAUGGAUCCGCGCCGCAUUAGCUAGUUGGUAAGGUAACGGCUUACCAAGGCGACGAUGCGUAGCCGACCUGAGAGGAUGAUAGACAACACUGGAACUGAGACACGGUCCAGACUCCGACGGGAGGCAGCAGUAGGGAAUAUUCCGCAAUGGGCGAAAGCCUGACGGAGCAACGCCGCGUGAGUGAUGAAGGUCUUCGGAUCGUAAAACUCUGUUAUUAGGGAAGAACAAAUGUGUAAGUAACUAUGCACGUCUUGACGGUACCUAAUCAGAAAGCCACGGCUAACUACGUG